AACGAACGCUGGCGGCGUGGAUAAGACAUGCAAGUCGAACGGGACAGGUAGCAAUAUCUGUCUAGUGGCGAACGGGUGCGUAACACGUGGGCAACAUGCCUGGAAGAGCGGGAUAGCCCGGGGAAACUCGGAUUAAUACCGCAUGUGACAACGGGGCGGCUUCGCCCUGUUUUCAAAGGUGGGGACCGCAAGGCCUGCCGCUUCCAGAUUGGCCCGCGUCCUAUCAGCUAGUUGGCGGGGUAACGGCCCACCAAGGCGACGACGGGUAGCUGGUCUGAGAGGACGACCAGCCACACUGGAACUGAGACACGGUCCAGACACCUACGGGUGGCAGCAGUCGAGAAUCUUUCACAAUGGGGGAAACCCUGAUGGAGCGACGCCGCGUGGAGGAUGACGGUCUUCGGAUUGUAAACUCCUGUCAUGAAAGAACAAGCGAUGCGGGUGAACAGCCCGCAAAGUUGAUAGUAUUUCAAGAGGAAGGGACGGCUAACUUCGUGCCAGCAGCCGCCGUAACAC
rnacentral:rRNA from 1 species